rfam:Pyrobaculum sp. OCT_11 scf1119037731778, whole genome shotgun sequence.
GCGGCGGUAGCUCAGCCUGGUUAGAGCGCUCGGGGGCGGAGCCCCGCGUAAGGCUCAUAACCGGGAAGUCCCGGGUUCAAAUCCCGGCCGCCGCA